CAGAACUAUUCACAAUAGCAAAGACAUGGAAUCAACCUGAAUGCCCAUCAAUGAUAGACUGGAUAAAGAAAAUCUGGUAUAUAUACACCACGGAAUACUAUGCAGCCAUAAAAAAGAAUGAGAUCAUGUCCUUUGCAGCAACAUGGAUGGAGCUGGAGGCCAUUAUCCUUAGAAAACUAACACAGGAACAGAAAACCAAAUGUCACGUGUUCUCACAUAUAAGUGAGAGCUAAAUGAUUUCCCUGGAACCCAUUCCUUAUACCAUGGAAGAAGCUCAUUCUAGUCCACAGAGAGAGACAUGAAGAGGCUCACAUAGAAAGGAAUGGAGAUCUCCAGCCAAGGGUCAAUAUAAAUUUCCAGAUAAGUGAAUGAAUGAGCCUUCAGAUGAUUCCAGUCCCCACCCUUUGGGUCUUUCAGAUGAGGCCUGAGACAUUAUGAUGCAAAGACAGUCUUCUCUUCUAUGUUCUGUCCAAAUCCCUUACCCAGAGAGUCGGCCAUCAAGCUCUAGAGGAUCCUCAGUGAGAGAUAUGACCUCUCAAUAUUCAAGAGUCACUCAUCUACAGGGGACCCUAGACUGCCCAGCAGUGAGACAUGGCAGGAAUGCGACUGUUAAGAGAAGAACACCUCAAGUGAGCAUGCGCAAAAUUUUGGUAAGCCCAAGGUACUGUGUGUUGGCAACUUACUGAGAAUGCAGACAGCCCACCCCAAGGACAGAAUGGUGGGAGAAGUAACACAAGACCCUGGAAGCAUGUCGGUGUAUAAAACCCCAAAUCAAAAGGUCAAACUGCAAACUUGAUUUCUGAAGUAACUUGCUUGGCCCUCUUCCGAGUGUACUUUACUUUUUUCAUUCCUGCUCUAAAGCUUUUUAAUAACCUUUCACUUCUGCUCUAAAAUUUGCCUUGGCCUCUCCUUCUGCCUUAUGCCACUCAGUCAAAUUCUUUUUUCUGAAGAGGCAAUAAUUGACAUUGCUGCAGAACUGUAUGGAUUCACCACCAGUAACACACUUAACUUCAUAUUGCAUAAUAUUUCACUUAUUUAUUUAUUUCACUUAUUUAAUUUAUUGUCAACCUCUCUCUCCCCCCAUUAGAAUGUAAGCUUGAGUAGACCAAAAAAAUUGUCUGUGAGUACAUAGUUUUGUUCCUAGCACUUUAAAAAAUGCCUGGUACAUAGUAGAAGUUCUAUAAAAUUUUUUUAAUAAAUAUUUCUGAAUGAAUUUUUUGGAUAACUGACAAACAAUUUAGAAAUAAUUUUCAUGGUAGUAAAGAGUUUCUCACACAGAUGCUGAAUGUUGGCAUAACAGUUGCAAUUUAUGAUUUUAAAAAUAUAAUUGAACAAUUAACACUUUGUGCUGGAGUAGCCUCAUCCUUAUUCUUGCAUCUGUUGUCUACACUUCCCCAUGACCAAUCUCCUCAGUUUCCCUCUUGUUAACUUUUGGAUAGCAUCAGAAAAUCCUCCCUCUACUCUGGUUUGGGUAUAGACAUCCUCCAGGCAAAAGGCUAUUUCUGCCAGAAGUUAUCACUUUAGCUGUGGAGUAUAAGAAGCAUGAUAGGAAUAUCAGCUUUUUGCCAAGUUUCCCAAUGUCCUAGAGGAACAUGCUCACUGUUACCAAGUUAUCCACAGGGUAAAUAAAAUGUGUGAGGGCCAAAUAGAAAAGGGAAAUGGAAGCAAACCUUUACUGAAGAAGUUAGCCAAGAAUUUGUUUUCAUUAGGUACCAUUAUUUCUGAUAUUUACCAAAACUACUUGGUAUAAAUAAAUACGCUCACUCUAAGCACACUCUGUGUAAAUUAUUGUAUGGAUAAUUUAAGUAACAAUUUUUUGAAAAGAGAAAGAAAACGUCUGCUUCUCCUGUCAGUCAGAGUCCACUUUAGAUUGAUAUAACUUUCCAAAUAAUUACUGCUUUGGGGUAACUAGAGCAGCAUAAAAUUGUCUUAGUUCUUUACUAUCACUUUUUAUCUUGCUCUUAUUUUUAAAAUAGACUCAGCAAUUUUGUGCUUGAUUUUCCUUGGUAGGACCUAUUAUUAAUUACAUUUUUAUUAUUUCACUAGAAGUCACCUCCACUUUAAUCAUUAAGCCUGUGAUUAACAAAAUUUAAUCACCAGAGUGUAAUGUUUGGAGUUAAAGAACUUAGAUCUGUGAAGAAAAUUAAGUAACACAUGUCACUUCAUUGUAUUCAUGUUACUAAGUGACUAUACAAUAAGUUUUGGAAGUAUAAUAAAUUGUAUACCGUCUGAAGAUAUGCUUUUAUUGAUGUUUUGCUUUAGAAAUUGCAUGAAUCUUUGGGUAUUUCUUAUAUUGAUUUGUUAACAUUAUUGUGCUCAAGUAAUUAAAGUCAGAGUUCAACAAGUGUUUCAUCCAAAUUGCAUAAAUUGAUUCCAGGAGAUAAUUGGAAUUCUAUGGCUCCAAUUGAUACAGUGUUUACUUGAGUUUCUUAUUCUGUGCAGAGAGAUAAUUGAAUCAUGUAGCUCUCCAUGGAUUUAAUUUUAAUUUUAAUUUUUACCAAAGUAUUGUUUAUAUGCAGUUUUAAAAGGCAGAAUACUUUUGGGCUCCAAAGAAAGAAACAACAGCAACAAAAACACAAUAUCCUGCGCUAAAGUACACAAUCAUAUUUCGAACUGCAGAGGAAACCGCUUUCAAUUCUUUAACUGUUUUGAUAUGAACAUAGCUUUUCAUGACCUACUGUAUUCUACUAUUGAAGGGUUAAAUUCCCUUAAAUUUCUUGCUGAAAAAAGAUAGUUGGAGAUAAGUUUUUGAAAUCUUGAGAAUCUGAAAACAACUCUCAAAAUAUUCUGUCUUCACAGUUGAUUGGUAGAGUGGCUGGAUUUAGACUUUUCAGUCACAAAUACAUUUUUCUUAGAUUUUUUUUUUAAAGGCAUUACUCAUUAGACUUCCAGCUACUUUUGCUGCUAUGAAGAAGUCUGAUGUCAUUUUCCUUCUGGUCCUUCAUAUGCAAAAGUGAAUUAGUUUUCUCUUGAUUUGGAAUAUUUUGGGAUUUUUUAAAAUCCCUCUUGUUUUGCUGUCUCACACAUAGUGUGUUCUUUGUGCAUGUGUGUGUUUCCUCACUUAUUGUUCUGAAUAUUUGACACAUUUUUAUAUAAAAACUUAUUUUCUUUAAUUCUGGAAUUCUAUUUUUAUGUAAUUAUACUCUCUAAUUUUCUCUUUUUUCCCUGUCUGUAACUUAUGUUGGUUGACCUAGCUGUAUUAUGUAAUUUCUUAUUAUUUUUCUGUUACUCUCUAAUAGUCUUUUUCUAAUUUUCUUUAUGUGAUAUUUACUCCAAUUCAUUUUAAAAAUAUUUUGAUUCAAUGAUUUUUUUUACAUUUCCAAAUACUAUUUAUUAUCUUAAUUUUUAAAAAAGAAUAAGCUGUUAUUGUAUUAGGACAAGAUAUAUUUUUAUUUUUCUGAAUCUACUAACCAUCGAUUUUUAUUGCUAUUGAUUUAUUAUCUCUUUGUCUUUUUAAAUUUUUACUUUUUUCCUUUAGUAUUAGAAGUUGUCAAGUAUAUCUUGAUCUUUUGUUUACUGAGGUAUCUCCAGUUUCUAAAACUGUUUGGGUCAACAAAUACCUGGUGAAUUAAUAAAUGGAUGAAUAUUUGGCAAUCUUGCUUAUUUCAGAAGGAGAUACUGAAAAUCUAAAAUAAUUCCUAUGAGCAUGAGACAACCCUGCCAACAUCUCAGUUUUGCUGUGGAGUGGUCAAAAAGAGAGAGACCUGGGCCACUUCGUUUGAUGACCCUCAAACAUAAGUAUCUGUGCACUUUCGUUAGGGGAGCCUGUUCUCAAAAGUGAUCUCUAAAUCUCUGAUUUGAUGGGAGUGGGGGUAGGUAAUGCUGUCUUCUAAAAUUUAUAGCCUUAGUGAGGACAAUAUGCUAGAGGGUCUUAUUUUUCAUUAUUCAGACUUUUACUUCCAGUGUUUUCAGGAUGGUGACUCGAUCCUAAUGUACUGUACAGAAUGCAUCUCCCUAAAUACAGUGUCUCUGGUUCAGUCUCUUCAGGGGGUAAAACCCCAUUGCCUGCUGGGCUGCAGUGAGGUGGUUUGCACUACGGGUUGGGUGAGAGAGGAGAUCUAGUAAUUACACUGCUUAUUACUUCCACUUUCAACUAAUCCUUACACAGAUCUCAGUACCACUUCUCAACCUAUCCUCAGAGUAGGUUGCAAGACUUAACAUAAAAAAUUUGAGGAUGCUCAGUCAUAUGUGAAUUUCAGAUAGAGUGAUUUUGUUUCAGCAUAAGUAUAUCUCAUGCAAUAUUUAGGAUAUAGUGUUCUAAAAAAUGUUCUUUCAUUUUCAAAUGUAAUUGUGUGUCUUUUUUUUUUUUUUUUUUCUUGAGAUAGAGUCUCACUCUGUUGCCCGGGCUGGAGUGCAAUGGUUCGAUCUCAGCUCACUGUGACUUCCACCUCCCAGGUUCAAGACAUUCUCCUGUCUCAGCCUACUGAGUAGCUGGGAUUAUAGGCAUGAACAACCGUGCCCAGCCGUGUCUUCUCUUUUACCUGGCAACCCUACUAGAGGCUUUCAGAGAUAAAAAUCUGUUGGAUGACGUGCAGCUUACCCUUUCAAAGUUCCUUAAGGACCCUGGGGAAUGCAGCCAUCUGGAAUUUGCUGUCAUGCUGUGAUUUCUGCAGAUGCUCAUGAAAUUUGGUGCCAUGACUCAGAUCGGGGGACCUCCCUUGGAAGAUCAAUCCCCUGUCCUCCUGCUCUUUGCUCCAUGAGAAAGGUCCGCCUACGACCUCAGGUCCUCAGACCACCCAGCCCAAGAAACAUCUCACCAUUUUCAAAUCCAGUAAGCAGCCUCUUUUUAUUCUCUUCUCCAACCUCCCUCACUAUCCC
rnacentral:lncRNA from 1 species